rnacentral:rRNA from 1 species
AUUGAACGCUGGCGGCAUGCUUUACACAUGCAAGUCGAACGGUAACAGGUUAAGCUGACGAGUGGCGAACGGGUGGGUAAUGCAUCGGAACGUGCCCGAUCGUGGGGGAUAACGCAGCGAAAGCUGCGCUAAUACCGCAUACGAUCUGAGGAUGAAAGCGGGGGACCGUAAGGCCUCGCGCGAUCGGAGCGGCCGAUGUCAGAUUAGGUAGUUGGUGGGGUAAAGGCUCACCAAGCAAACGAUCUGUAGCUGGUCUGAGAGGACGACCAGCCACACUGGGACUGACACACGGCCCAGACUCUUACGGGAGGCAGCAUUGGGGAAUUUUGGACAAUUGGCGAAUGCUUGAUCCACCAAUGCCGCGGGCAGGAAGUAGGCCUGUGGGUUGUAAACUGCUUUUGUACGGAGCGAAAAGGCCCUCUCUAAUACAGGGGGCUCAUGACGGUACCGUAAGAAUAAGCACCGGCUAACUACGUGCCAGCAGCCGCCGUAAUAC